rfam:Schistocephalus solidus strain NST_G2 genome assembly, scaffold: SSLN_scaffold0003299
UGGCUCAAUGGUAGAGCGUUCGACUCAAAUACCAAAGGUCUCGGGUUCGAAUCCCAG